UACGGAGGGGGCGAGCGUUAUUCGGAAUUAUUGGGCGUAAAGGGCGCGUAGGCGGCGCGAUAAGUCAAAGGUGAAAUCCCUCGGCUCAACUGAGGAACUGCCUUUGAGACUGUCGUGCUCGAGGCCGGGAGGGGGUAGCGGAAUUCCCAGUGUAGCGGUGAAAUGCGUAGAUAUUGGGAGGAACACCAGUGGCGAAGGCGGCUACCUGGACCGGUUCUGACGCUGAUGCGCGAAAGCGUGGGGAGCAAACAGG
rnacentral:rRNA from 1 species